rnacentral:rRNA from 1 species
CUUUACUGUAGCCUGGUAUUGGGUUCGGGCUUUGACUGCGCAGGAUAGGUGGGAGACUGAGAAGUGUGCCUUGUGGGGCACAUAGAGUCAACGGUGAGAUACCACUCUGUCAGAGCUAGAAUUCUAACCUUACACCGUAAGCCGGUGAAGGAACAAUCUCAGGCGGGCAGUUUGACUGGGCGGCCGCCUCCUAAAAGGUAACGGAGGCGCGCAAAGGUUCUCUCAGGCUGGUUGGAAAUCAGCCGUAGAGUGUAAAAGCACAAGAGAGCUUGACUGUGAGACUAACACGUCGAACAGGGACGAAAGUCGGCUUUAGUGAUCCGACGGCGCUGCGUGGAAAGGCCGUCGCUAAACGGAUAAAAGUUA